ensembl:lncRNA
CUAGCAUGAAGCGCUGCCAACGCAGCAUCCGCUCCUCUUUUAACAUGCCUUCGCAGCGACCUCUUUGAUAAAAUUAUUUUACUCUCUGCCAUUUUUUGUAAUUUUGCUGUCUUCCCAUCUCUCAGACUUACCUGAUCCUCCAUCCAAACUCUGAUGUUGGAAUCCAUGCUGUCCAGUCCAUGUGAAGAGCACAGGAAGGCUUGUUGCAGCACACUUAAUAGUAGGGUAUCACCAUAUGUCUGGUUGAGCUCACAAAAGAUCUCGUCUGGCUCAGCUGUUUGAAGCGCAUCUACCUAAAUGUGUCAUUGUAAGGUGGUCUCCCUCUCUCCCUCCCCACCUCUCUCCCUCCCCACCUCCCUCUCUCCCUCCCCACCUCCCUCUCUCCCUCCCUCCCUUAUCACUCCUAGGCACACCAGGUGCAAAGUCCAGCACAAAUUGGGUCACCAAGCCUACAUCUAGGUGUUGUAAUGGACUCUCCGCUUUUAAAGCCUAAGGGGAGAAAAGCGACCUGGGCCCUCUUGCAUGCACCUUUCGCAGUCGUAAUAGGAAUUGUGUGCUUUUAUUUUUUUUUAGAAAUGCCCAUGCCUGUGCAUCACAGACAAAACAGGAAAUUUCGAUUUUAAUUAGAACAGUAACCCGGCUUGCGGAGGUACCUUCCCUUACACCCAAACUCCUUUUCUGUACAUAGUUUCUCAUUUAUUUAUUUUGUCUGUUCAGUCAAAUUGCAAAGAUUGUAUUUAUAUAUUGCAUUUCAUUUUGUUUGCAUUGACAUACACAUGACAAUUAAAACUUG